AAUUUUGAAAAAGUGAUUUCUGCAUAAUUGAGUUUGGUUUGAAAAUUAAUUUUAGUUAAAAUUUGUAGGGCGUUUAGGUGAGUUUAGAUGAAAAAUAUUUUUUUUUAAAAUUUUGUAAAACUAUUUUGCAAAACAAUUUGUAUGUUUGCAUAUAAUAACUUUUUUACUCAAUUUUAUUUAAAAAUAAUUUAAAACUUAAAUGAAAAUUAAAAUUUUGAAUUUGAAUAUAAAUUUAAAUUUAAAAUUUUUAAUUUUGAAUUUGUAUAAAAAUCUAAAAUUUGAUAUUUUAAUUUAAAAUAUAAGUUUUAAAAUUUAACUUAAAUUUGAAAAUUAUAAAAUUUGAAGAUUUAAAAUUUAAAAUUUAUAACUUGAAAUUAAAUUUGAAAAUUUAAAAUUUGAAAUGAAAAUUGAAUAAUUUAAAAUUUGAGAUUUAAAAUUUGAAAACUAAAAAUUACAAUUUUAAAAUAAAAAAUUUAAAUUUUGAGAAAAUUUAAAUUUUGAGAAAUUUUAUCGGUAUGAGAUUAUAUUAUACCGAUAUCUUAUUGGUACGAUAUGACACGAUCAUACCGAUGUACUUUUAAAUCCUUAAUUCUUACCUACUAAAGCUAAAAAUAGUGAAAGCCCUGAUAAUAGAGGAAUUCUAAACUAUCACAUUUGCACCACGUCAUCAAUAACAAGUCAAUUAUAUUUCUUCUUUUCAAAUAAAAGUACAAUGAAAAUGCUUUUUUAUGAUCAUGAUGGGACAUAUCUCUAAAAGGAGAUUUUUGAUUGAUUUGUUCUCCACGUCACCAAUAUACUUAUUAGCUGCCAUCAUAAGAUGCCAAAGCUAGGAAAGGUAGGAAAAAUUUUAGAAUGCAACGGGUAUAUUUGUAACGUGGCGUAACAAACCAAUCAAAUGUCUCCUUUUAAGGGUAUAUGUCUCAUCAUGAUUGUAAACAAAUAUUUUUAUUAUACUUUUGUUUGAGAAGAAGGAAUAUGAUUAACUUGUUAUUGAUGACGUGGUGUAAGUGUGAUAGUAGAAUUCCUCGAAAGGUAGAGACGCAAUUGAAUAUCUGACAAGAUUGUACAUGAUACUUUAAUAUAUAUAUAUAUAUAUAUAUAUAUAUAUAUAUAUAUAUAGAGCUAGUCUAGUAUACUAUACCAAGUUAUUUUCAAUGAUGCCGCUUCCAAAUCGACGAUCGGCUCCGUUAGACUUGAUCUGUACUAUUAAAAGUAUUUAGAAACUAAAUUUAAUAACUUUUGGUAUUAUUUACCUAUUAAACGAAUAGUCUAAAAAUGAACGGUUGAAAAUAAAAAUCUCAUAAAAAGUGAUGAUAGAAGACUUGAAUUUAAGAUCAGAGGUACUGAUCUUACUUUAAAUAGUAAAAAGAAUUUUGUAUAAAAAUUUUAUCUGAUUUGAAUUGUUUUAUACCGUUAAAUUUACAAAUGCAUUACAUCUACCAUUAAAAUUGUCAAUUUUGAGACCUUUUGAUUACUAGCCAAAUGAUGUCGAAAAAUUUAUAUUUUAAAACUCUUAAUUUUUAAAUUUUUUUAAUUAUAUUAUAUAUUUUAGAAAAAAAAAUUUAUCGCCUUUAAAAUUAUUAAAUAUAUA
rnacentral:lncRNA from 1 species